UCAAGGGAGCAAUAGGUGGGGCAGGCUGCCUGGAGGAGGCGUCGGGGUGCUCGCCCAGUGACCCUCACACUCUGCUCUGGCCAGCUGUUCUCCUCCCAGCCCUCCACCAAUGGCACAACCACUACCAUGAGAAUGGAUUCUGACAGCCGUGCAGGUGAUGCUUCUUAUCACUUGAAGGCACCUGAAAGGCUGGCUGCUUUUUCUCCUACCAAACCAUCUCUGCUCACUCACCGCUAUCCUCUGUGCUAGUGCCGGCCACCAUUCCCUGUGGCCACCAAAUGACUGGCAGCAGCUUCUGACACCUCCCUCAGUAGAGGCCCAACAUGGUGUCUGCCCUUCCAUUCCUAAGCUUUCAUUAUUUAUGUUUGCGCUAAGCCAUUUGAAGAGUGUACAGGCAGGACCUGCCUGGUGUUUCUGUAAAACAUGGUGCAUCUUUAGUAAGAAGAGAGGAGGAGUUCAUCUCUGGAAGAAACAGUUGCUGCCUGUGUUGUCACAGAAUCAAGUGGCCCAGCUGGAAGAGCCCUGUUAUCGAGUUAUGGAAAUGAUAAAUUAGUGGGACGAAAGUUUUUUGUUUCUGGAGCUUCUGUCUGAAAAUUCUGGGCAUGGAUUUCUCUAUCAAAGGGCAGGAAGGUGAAGCUACUUGCUCUCCCCUGGUAGACGGUCGUAAGAAGAGAAAGUGGAACGUUUCCCCAAACUUCCCUGGCAGUGUCACUCACAGGUGUCACUCAACAAUUUAGAGGGAAGACAAGAAUUAUAUUCACACCCCCGGACUUCUAGCUUAGAACCCUUUCCAGUCAGCCAAUUUUAUGAAAAACUAACAUCUCUUAGGAAGGAAUAUCUGGUAAUAUUUUUAUCAUUUGGAGACCCUGAGACAUUAGAGCGACCAUAGUCACUCAGUAAACAAAAAUGUGCCGAUUAACCUAUAUAAUUAAGUAAUAAAAUCAUGAU